rnacentral:misc_RNA from 1 species
GUAGGUGAACCUGCGGAAGGAUCAUUAUCGAGUUAGGGUCUUCUAGGCCCGACCUCCAACCCUUUGUCUAUUUACUACUUGUUGCUUCGGCGAGUCCGCCCUUUGAAACACAGGGGCCGCCGGAGGGUUUUAUACCUCUGGUCCGCGCUCGUCGAUAGCCAUUAUUAAACUCUUGUUUUAACUAUGUCGUCUAAGUAAAGCACUUAAUUAAAUUAAAACUUUCAACAACGGAUCUCUUGGUUCUG